CUGAGGCUGUAACUCAACUAAAGGGGAUGGACUUGGGAGGGGCUGCCCACGCCCACUCCCCAGCUCCUUCCCAAACAGUCUGGCUUCAGCCCCACCCAAUACUGAAGACACCCUCCCUUUUAGUCUCUGUCCCUUGUGUCCCUGUACGGCCACAGGUGAGAAGGGCCAGGUCUGGGAGAAUAAAUGGCCCUGGACUGGCAGGCUUUGGGCAGGACUCCUGGAGAGAGAGGGGCAGAGUGGAAGGCUAGGAGGGGCAGCACAAAAGGAAGAAAGGCCCGGACCCAGGCUAAAACCUUCUCCAUUGGCCACACUGGCCAGGCGCAGCGAUGACCGUCACCUACACAGCCAGAGUGGCGAAUGCCCGCUUCGGUGGCUUCUCGCAGCUGCUGCUGCUGUGGCGCGGAAGCAUCUACAAGCUCCUGUGGCGAGAGCUGUUAUGUUUCCUGGGACUCUACAUGGCACUAAGCGCCGCCUAUCGCUUCUUACUGGCAGAAGAGCAGAAGCGCUACUUCGAGAAGCUUGUCAUAUACUGCGACCAGUACGCCAGCCUCAUCCCCGUCUCUUUCGUACUUGGCUUCUACGUGACUCUGGUGGUGCAUCGCUGGUGGAACCAGUACCUAUGCAUGCCUCUGCCGGACGCACUCAUGUGCAUAGUGGCUGGCACCGUGCAUGGGCGAGACGAUCGAGGCCGCCUCUACCGGCGCACGCUCAUGCGCUACGCAGGGCUCUCCGCGGUGCUGAUCCUUCGUUCUGUUAGCACAGCAGUCUUCAAACGGUUCCCCACUAUAGACCACGUGGUCGAGGCUGGAUUUAUGACCCGAGAAGAGCGCAAGAAGUUCGAGAACUUGAAUUCGUCCUACAACAAAUACUGGGUGCCCUGCGUAUGGUUCUCGAGCCUGGCAGCGCAGGCGCGGCGAGAGGGGCGCAUCCGCGACAACAGUGCCCUAAAGUUGCUACUAGAGGAGCUGAAUGUGUUUCGGAGCAAAUGUGGGAUGCUGUUUCACUACGACUGGAUUAGCAUACCCCUCGUCUACACCCAGGUAGUCACUAUCGCAGUGUACAGCUACUUCUUGGCUUGCCUCAUCGGCCGUCAGUUCCUAGACCCUGCACAGGGCUACAAAGACCACACCCUGGACCUAUGCGUACCCAUCUUCACCUUGCUGCAGUUCUUCUUCUACGCUGGCUGGCUUAAGGUAGCAGAGCAGCUUAUUAACCCUUUUGGGGAAGACGACGACGACUUUGAGACCAACUUUCUUAUUGACCGCAACUUCCAGGUGUCCAUGCUAGCUGUAGAUGAGAUGUAUGACGACUUGGCCAUGCUGGAGAAAGAUCUAUACUGGGAUGCAGCAGAAGCUCGCGCGCCCUACACCGCGGCCACCGCUUUCCUGCUUCAGCAGCCCUCCUUCCAGGGCUCCACCUUUGAUAUAGCGCUGGCUAAAGAGGACAUGCAGUUCCAGCGGCUGGACGGCGUGGAUGGCCCGCUGGGAGAGGUUCACGGGGACUUUCUGCAGCGCCUCCUGCCGGCGGGGGCGGGUUCUGUGGGUCCGCUGGGGCGGCGCCUGUCGCUGUUAAGGCGUAAAAACAGCUGCGUGUCAGAGGCCUCCACUGCUGCCAGCUGUGGCUGUGCAGGCGCGGCGGAUGGCGGAGGCGUUGAGUGCGGUUGUGGAGACCCAUUGCUUGACCCCAGCCUGCGGGAGCCUGAGCUGGAGUCUCCCGCAUGUCCUGAGCCGCCUGCCCCCAUCCCGGGGCCAACUCCUGAACCUUUUACCACCGUGUCGAUUCCGGGUCCUCGGGCUCCUGCGCCACCCUGGCUGCCCAGCCCUAUUGGAGAGGAGGAAGAGAGUCCGGCCUGAGAUCCUGGGACCAGGACCCCUACGGACACCUACCUAAUCCUGCACUAGACAUGCUGGCGACCACCAGGGUCUGCACAAGCUAGCUAGGCCUUCAGAAAGCCGACCUACUCAUUUUGACCAGCGGAAUCUCCCACUGGGGCUGGUGGUUUUAGGGGUCCAUAUUCUCCCAGCUGUUGCUGCUUCCCUCACCCCCAACCCCCCACUCUUUAAGAGGUUUUGCCUUCCAAACACCACCACCUGACCUGUGGCCUCUGUUGGUCUUCUGACCGUACCUUGGGUUCUUCCCUUCGAGUGGAAUUGACGGCCUACCUCAUGAAAUUGUGAGGAUGAAAAAAAUAAAUAAAAUAAAAUAAACGAAA